ACGAACGCUGGCGGCGUGCUUCACACCUGCAAGUCGAACGGAAAGGCCCUGCUUGCAGGGUACUCGAGUGGCGAACGGGUGAGUAACACGUGGGUGAUCUGCCCUGCACUUCGGGAUAAGCCUGGGAAACUGGGUCUAAUACCGGAUAGGAGCCAUUUUUAGUGUGAUGGUUGGAAAGUUUUUUCGGUGUAGGAUGAGCUCGCGGCCUAUCAGCUUGUUGGUGGGGUAAUGGCCUACCAAGGCGGCGACGGGUAGCCGGCCUGAGAGGGUGGACGGCCACAUUGGGACUGAGAUACGGCCCAGACUCCUACGGGAGGCAGCAGUGGGGAAUAUUGCACAAUGGGCGCAAGCCUGAUGCAGCGACGCCGCGUGGGGGAGGACGGCCUUCGGGUUGUAAACUCCUUUCGCUAGGGACGAAGCUUUUUGUGACGGUACCUAGAUAAGAAGCACCGGCUAACUACGUG
rnacentral:rRNA from 1 species